AUUGAACGCUGGCGGCAGGCCUAACACAUGCAAGUCGAGCGGAUGAAAGGAGCUUGCUCCCGGAUUCAGCGGCGGACGGGUGAGUAAUGCCUAGGAAUCUGCCUGGUAGUGGGGGACAACGUUUCGAAAGGAACGCUAAUACCGCAUACGUCCUACGGGAGAAAGCAGGGGACCUUCGGGCCUUGCGCUAUCAGAUGAGCCUAGGUCGGAUUAGCUAGUUGGUGAGGUAAUGGCUCACCAAGGCGACGAUCCGUAACUGGUCUGAGAGGAUGAUCCGUCACACUGGAACUGAGACACGGUCCAGACUCCUACGGGAGGCAGCGGUGGGGAAUAUUGGACAAUGGGCGAAAGCCUGAUCCAGCCAUGCCGCGUGUGUGAAGAAGGUCUUCGGAUUGUAAAGCACUUUAAGUUGGGAGGAAGGGUUGUAGAUUAAUACUCUGCAAUUUUGACGUUACCGACAGAAUAAGCACCGGCUAACUCUGUGCCAGCCGCCGCAGUAAAAC
rnacentral:rRNA from 1 species